UACGAAGGGGGCUAGCGUUGUUCGGAUUUACUGGGCGUAAAGGGCGCGUAGGCGGAUUUUUAAGUCGGGGGUGAAAUCCCGGGGAUCAACUCCGGAACUGCCUUCAAUACUGAAAGUCUGGAGCACGGUAGAGGUGAGUGGAAUUCCGAGUGUAGAGGUGAAAUUCGUAGAUAUUCGGAGGAACCCCAGUGGCGAAGGCGGCUCACUGGACCGUUGCUGACGCUGAGGCGCGAAAGCGUGGGGAGCAAACAGG
rnacentral:rRNA from 1 species